CCUGUUUCUAUAUAAGUGAGUCUCUCUAGUCUCUACUCAUUUGUGAAGAGAGAAAUAAUUUUCAAGUGAAGAAAAGAAAAGACUGUCUUUCUUCUUUUCUUGGAUUGGGCGGAGGCAACAAAAUACAACAAAUGGGUGUUGGGUUGAAGAGGGAUUUUGUAUGGGAAUAUGGAGGAACUCUGGAGAGUCAAAAAUCUGGAAUCAGACAGCAUUAUGAUAUUUCCUCUCGUAAUAACAGCGUCCUUGUUGCUCUGAUGAUGAUUUGAUGGUGUAGCUUGGUGCGAUGGUGGUGGUGGUGGAGCCUCUGAUGCACACCUCAAAAGACGCUUCAAACUGACAGGAAAAACUGGAUUGUAGUAGUAUCUCUGGUAAUAUCUGUUAAAAAUUUCAGAUGACUAUUUGAAAACUGCAACAGCCUCUUAAAAGUAUACGCCUUAAAUGGAUCGGCCAAGCCUGAAUCUAGAAAAUGAAGCUAAACUUGAAUGGAAAUUCUGAGAGAUUGAGAUUUAUAUGUCCAAGAAAUGUAAAUUGUGUUAUAAAUCACACUUUAAAAAGCAAGAACAAACAGCCGAUUUGUUACAAUGUCUAAAACAAGACAAUUCUACAGAAAGAGAAUAACACUUCUUUUUCUCUUC